UUCCGGGCGUAAAUGUAAAAAAAAAUAAGGGCAAUUCACCCAUCUCCAAGAAAUAAAAGUUACUUGAAAUUUUCAGCCCAAAACCCUCCUCAUAAUGAUACAUUUGUGGUGUUAUAUACUCUGCGUUUUACCCAAGUCUACACAGCUUGAUAAAGCAAGCUAGGUUAAUAUUUUUCAGAUAUUAAAGUAUUUUUUUAUCUAAUGAUAAUUUUGAUAGCAUAUAAUUUUUUAGGAUCUCAUACACACUGCUUAGGCAUGUGAGAAGCAUAAACCGACAUUCACCAUGUUAACUCUGGUCAAUCUUAAAGUAACAUAUAACACAAAGUUUAUAUACUACACAUUGUUUAGCGUAGUUUGUCUUUUCACAUAAUGUUUUAAGUAGCCAAACAAAAUGUAGUAUCAAGGUGACGUCAUAUCGGCUUUAAAUUAUGUUCAGUCAAUUCUACGCCCUAAAUUACCAUGGUACAUGUUAAAGUAAAAAUAUAACACGGAAUAUAAUUUUGGCGCACUUUCUACUCAUUCUGGCCCACUGUGCAGCGGUGCGAUAAGCACAAUUACACAUUUGUUCAGAUGAUGGCCUAACCUGAAGCGGUUUAUUGAUCUGCUGAGAACUUGAAAGACAAGAUCAAUCCUUCAUCAAACAACUGCCAUUGGAAUGGUUCAUUUCUAAGUCUUGCAUUGCUGUCGGAUCCUACAAAGCAUUUCAUGGGCCCAAUUGUCUGGGGACAAUAGAGACUACAUCCAUUGUUAUUCACCUAGUGUUUGUCGUAGUUGAUGCUGUGUACGCUGGUGAAACUGCCAUUCGAAUGAUUUCUUUCUUCGUGAAGUCUUGCCUUGGCGUCAUCCAAUCGACAUGAAAGUUCUUCGAGAGCUGGAAACGCGCGAAGGUCUUUGUAUCUGCCUCAAUCAUGUCAAUAAAGGGACUUUCACAAUUGCUCGUCCGAUAGUUUGCGAUCAUUUGGUCACAACAUAAUAUGUUGCACAGAAUCGCAACGGGUGUAAGCAGUCGCAUUACCAAUUGUGAAAGGGGCUUAACGUACUCUGGUUUUCUUAGAAAUGUGUACCGGACAGUUGAACAUUUGCAUCCGCUACUAACCCCUCCAGGGAAAGAAAACAUCACGGAUAAAACAGCAGAAUAUGUAGAAUGAGGCAUCUCCAGAUCUGUCGCCUUAUUCACUGAGCUAGCAGGAAUAGUUGAAAGCAAUGGGUUUCAUAGCUCUCCAGGAGUAUUGGCUAUCUAUUUUCUGACUAAAUAAACCGAUGCCAUUUGGGAACACACGCUCGAGAUUUUGACGGAAUAAAGCCAUAUUUUGGAUUCCUUCGCUGCAAGCAAUGGCGGUGACAUCAGUUACGGUGGAGCAAUCUUAAAGCGUGGACGUUGGCUGCAGGGAUCCGAAUGCAGCUCGAGGUGGCAGCAGUUCAUCAUUGACGUCAUCGGGUCGUCUCAUUGUUGUGAAGGAAUGUCCUUGAACAGUUUCAUCUUGCGGGGACCACGACAGCUGAUCCUCAUAUUGCAGACAGUACGUGCAAUGAUUGAGCCAGAAUACAUCAGGACUACAACCUUGGUUUGAGCUGUUGAUUGAGCCAGAGAACGUCAGUACAGCAAUCUUGGUUUGAGCCGACCUUCGGAACAAGUUGGCCUCUCCAUUCUGAGGGGUUUUAUACCUAGCCAAUCGUUAAGGCAUAUUGAAAUGACGAGUCCAUUCUGGACAGCUUCGAUGACAAUGGUCCGUAUUCCGAUAGCGAGGUUUAAGUUAACCCUGGUCCAAUUGUGGUAAUAAAUCCUCAAAAAGUUAAACUCGUGCAGGGGGUAGUUUAAGCCUGGUUUAAAUCCAACAAAUCAUGGCCAACAAUUUUUUUUUAGAAUUUACGCCUAUAUUGCUUUACAAGCUACUUUCUCACUUUUUAACCGAUUUUCAUGAAAUUUGGAACACACAUUGUUCGCAAGAUAAGGAGGUGUAAGAAUUUUUUCCCCUUUUUUUGAGAAUCUGUUGCCAUGGUAACAGUAUAUUAUGGCCAAAAUGUUGCCGUUUAAAAUACUUUCAUCAGUUUUCUACCAAUUCUCAAGAAAGUUGGCUCACACAUAAGUCUUAAGGUGAAGAUUUGCAAGACACAUUUUUGCAUGUGUCGGAAAUUGUGUUGCCAUGGUAAUGGUAUAUUAGGGCAAAAAACUAUGUAUAAAUAUUGCUGUUCCAACUACUUCCUUAGUUCUAACCUAUUCUCAUGAAAUUUGGCACAAACAUUAGUCUUGAUGUGAAGAUUUGCAAAACAUAUUUUAUGGCUCUAUAAAAAACUAAUGUUGCCAUGGUAACAAAUCAAAUAUAAAAUUUAUAUGAAAAUCUUGUGAUUUGAAAAACUUUAUCAGUUUCAGACUGGUCAAUUCCUUUAAAAAUUUUGUACAUACAUUAAUGCUGAGGUGAAGAUGUCUAUUUUUGCCCGUAUCAGAAAUUGUGUUGCCAUGGUAACAACAUAUUAAAUAACAAAAAUAAGGUGAAAAUUUUGUAGUUCGAACUCCUUCAUUUUUUUUCAACCAAUGCUCAUAAAAUCUGGCACACACAUUAGUCUUGAGUUAAAGAUGUGGAAGACAUAUUUUUGUAUGUAUCAGAAAUCGUGUUGCCAUGGUAACAAUAUAUUACAUAAUGAAAUUAGGUGAAAAUCUGAACUCCUUCACUAGUUUUCAACCAAUUCUUAUAAACGUUGGCUCACACAUUGGUUUUAGGUAUAGAUUUGCAAGACAUAUAUUUGUGUGUGUUGGAAACUGUGUUGCCAUGGUAACAUCAUAUUAAAUCAAUAAAUGUGUAAACACAUCUUGUGGACUGAACCUAUAGGUUUAUGAAAUUUAGAACACAUAGGUUUUGACUUGAGGUAAAGCAAUCAUCAAAAGACAAAAUAGUGUUUGUAUGGUAACUACACACACCAAAAUAAGAUUAAUACAAUGGUCAAUGCUAAGUACUGAGUAAGUGUUGUUUGGCUACACAGAGAACUACAUGUAGCUGUAGGCUUUGUUCUAGUUAUAAGGGGGUGCUUGACCUCUAGAUCUCGAACUACAGUCCCUAGCUUUAGAUCUAGGCCUAGAUAUAGAUCCUUUAGAUCUAGUAAAAGAAAUAGUCCUACGUUAGAUCUCUACUAGCCUACUUCCUUUCCAGGCCUAACGUUAGAUGAGUAGAUCUACUGUAGACUAGCCUACAUUUACGUUUUUAAAAUUUAGAAUCUAUAUUGAGAGUCUACAAAUCUCUAGGUCUAGACCUAUUACAUGUAGACCUAGAUUGAUAUACAUGUAGAUCUAGUUCUAGGUCUAGAUAGGGUUUAACUUUUAGUCUAAAUAGUUAUUUAGUCUAGAUCUAGGCCAGCGUUAUUCUAGAUCAUACAGUCAAUACGAGACUAGAUUAGUCAGUCCUAACGUUAGGGCUACCGGCUAGGCUAGAAA